CUCUCCUAGGGAGGCAGCAGUGGGGGAUAUUGCACAAUGGGGGGAACCCUGAUGCAGCGACGCCGCGUGGGUGAAGGAGUAUUUCGGUAUGUAAAGCCCUAUCGGCAGGGAAGAAUUUAGACGGUACCUGACUAAGAAGCCCCGGCUAACUACGUGCCAGCAGCCGCGGUAAUACGUAGGGGGCAAGCGUUAUCCGGAUUCACUGGGUGUAAAGGGAGCGUAGACGGCCAGGCAAGCCUGGAGUGAAAGCCCGGGGCCCAAGCCCGGGAC
rnacentral:rRNA from 1 species